GCGAAUCAAUAGGAGCUUGCUCCUGUUGGUUAGCGGCGGACGGGUGAGUAACACGUGGGCAACCUGCCUGUAAGACUGGGAUAACACCGGGAAACCGGUGCUAAUACCGGAUAAUCCUUUUCCUCUCAUGAGGAAAAGCUGAAAGUCGGUUCCGGCUGACACUUACAGAUGGGCCCGCGGCGCAUUAGCUAGUUGGUGAGGUAACGGCUCACCAAGGCGACGAUGCGUAGCCGACCUGAGAGGGUGAUCGGCCACACUGGGACUGAGACACGGCCCAGACUCCUACGGGAGGCAGCAGUAGGGAAUCUUCCACAAUGGACGAAAGUCUGAUGGAGCAACGCCGCGUGAGCGAUGAAGGCCUUCGGGUCGUAAAGCUCUGUUGUUAGGGAAGAACAAGUACCGGAGUAACUGCCGGUACCUUGACGGUACCUAACCAGAAAGCCACGGCUAACUACGUGCCAGCAGCCGCGGUAAUACGUAGGUGGCAAGCGUUG
rnacentral:rRNA from 1 species